CUGCAACCUUGGAGUUCUCCCUGAUGUCUCUCUUUAUCUUUCCUAGUGCCAGUCUUGUCCAUGUGCUUUCUCUCUUGGAAUUCUUAAUUCCACGUGUUCUCCUAUUUCUCAUAUUUUCCUUUAAUUAUUUUUCUAAGGAAAAUAUUAUCAGGGGCCUGCACUGCUCCCCAUUUUAAUUAACUUGUCUGUGUCUCUUGUUUUAUCACCCAUUUUCUCUGACUCCUUUCUCCUUCUCAAGCCCAAACCCACUAAGGAAAAACUUUAUGUAACAGCCUCAGGUCGGACUGUUAUACCCUACUUAAAGUUAAGUAUGGAGAUCUGCCCAUUUUUAGAUCUAAUCACCAAAAGUGCAAACAUUCCACUUACUCAUGAAGUGGGAGGUCUGUGAACCACAUAUGCCAUAGUGGGUGACAAAUCAGAAUCAACUGAUUGCCUCCUGGGCAGUCUUAGAGCAGGACUUCAACUGUGAUUGGUAGAUGUAAAAUUAAAGGGAAGACAGAGGAAGUGAUGCAAAGGAAGCCUCUUUAAAAGGAGCUGUUACUUCCUUUGAGAGGACAAUUCUUCAUUCUUUGAUCUGCUGACUGGACUUGGGACCCUGAUCCUGAGUGGAAUGGCAGGUGAUAUCAUGAUUGCAACUCCUGCCUUCUUUCUAUCAGUUGAGGCCCAGAAGGUCUUACUCCAUCCUUUAAUUCUGACCUUGUGGGUGUCUACCCGCCUCAUGUGUGUUUCUUGAAGACAAUAUAUGGUAGGGUUUUGGAUUCUAAUCCAUUCUGCUAUUCCUCUACGUUUUAUGGGUAAUUUAGGGAGAUAUCUACCCCAAGCAUAUGAAGACUUCUUUCAGCAGAAUGGACAGAUGAGAAAAUUUUGCUCUACUGGCCAUGAAGACAACAAAGGUGGCACUGUGGAGCUAAAGUUAAAGCACUAAAGAACUUGGUUAGACAUCAGACACCAGUCAUUUACUGCACUAUGGACCACCACCAGACUUCCUAAGUUUUGUCGUGUCACUGGAUUUUGAUGACACUGGAAGAGAAAGAGUGAGGUUCAAGUCUUUGUGCAACCCUGCCUUAUUAAAUCCAAUUCAACUGAAAGUUAGGAAAUCACCCGUGAUGUCAUUGGUUUUCUACAAAAAUGAAGGAUAUACAACAAGAAUAAAAUAAAAUACAAAUUCUGUAAUCUGAUGCUU
rnacentral:lncRNA from 1 species